rnacentral:rRNA from 1 species
UACGUAGGGUGCGAGCGUUAAUCGGAAUUACUGGGCGUAAAGCGUGCGCAGGCGGUUAUGCAAGACAGAUGUGAAAUCCCCGGGCUCAACCUGGGAACUGCAUUUGUGACUGUAGAGCUGGAGUACGGUAGAGGGGGAUGGAAUUCCGCGUGUAGCAGUGAAAUGCGUAGAUAUGCGGAGGAACACCGAUGGCGAAGGCAGCCCCCUGGGCUAACACUGACGCUCAGGCACGAAAGCGUGGGGAGCAAACAGG